UCGCCUGUUUAUCAAAAACAUCGCCUCUUGCUAACAAAAUGUAUUAGAGGUCCCGCCUGCCCUGUGACAAAGUUUAACGGCCGCGGUAUCCUGACCGUGCGAAGGUAGCGUAAUCACUUGUCUUUUAAAUGAAGACCUGUAUGAAUGGCAUAACGAGGGUUUAACUGUCUCCUAAUCCCAGUCAAUGAAAUUGAUCUGUCCGUGCAGAAGCGGACAUAAAAACAUAAGACGAGAAGACCCUAUGGAGCUUUAGGCUAAAGAUCAUGCAUGUUAAGAAACUACAACUUCCAAAAGAACAAACAAAAAGUUACACAAACUAAAUGUUAACUGAUCCUAAUGCCUUCGGUUGGGGCGACCACGGGGAAAAAAGAAACCCCCACAUGGAAUGGAAACAUCCCCCUAAACUUAGAGAGACCUCUCCAAGUAACAGAACAUCUGACCAAAAAUGACCCAGGGACCAAAGAACCCUGAUUAAUGAACCAAGUUACCCUAGGGAUAACAGCGCAAUCCUUUCCCAGAGCCCAUAUCGACGAAAGGGUUUACGACCUCGAUGUUGGAUCAGGACAUCCUAAUGGUGCAGCCGCUAUUAAGGGUUCGUUUGUUCAACGAUUAACAGUCCUACGUGAUCUGAGUUCAGACCGG
rnacentral:rRNA from 1 species